UUGCCGCGUGUUCAGCCCAGAGCGAACUAUUCUUUCGCCUUUUACUAAAGAAUACCGUGUGCGGGACACACAGGCGGCUUCAACCAAUCUUUGGAACGCCCCUCGACGGGGCAC
rnacentral:snRNA from 1 species